GGACCGAGCUCCAAGAACCACUGUUCUAAGGCGCUCCUCCGGUGGAAGCAGUGGUUAUGCAUUUGAGGUGUUGAAGGAUGCAAGGAAUCUCUCAUUGCACGGACCCUCUGCAGGACAGGGAAGAAUACCAUUUUCCCCAGAAUUUCUGGUACAUGGAUGAUGAUCAAUAA
rnacentral:lncRNA from 1 species